rnacentral:rRNA from 1 species
GUAGGCACCAAGCGUUGUCCGGAUUUAUUGGGCGUAAAGAGCUCGUAGGCGGUUCGGUAAGUCGGGUGUGAAAUCCCUGGGCUCAACCCAGGAAGUGCACCCGAUACUGCUGUGACUUGAGUACGGUAGGGGAGUGCGGAAUUCCUGGUGUAGCGGUGGAAUGCGCAGAUAUCAGGAGGAACACCAAUGGCGAAGGCAGCACUCUGGGCCGAGACUGACGCUGAGGAGCGAAAGCGUGGGGAGCGAACAGGAUUAGAUACCCUGGUAGUCCACGCCGUAAACGUUGGGCACUAGGUGUGGGCUCUAACCAACGGAGUCCGUGCCGCAGCUAACGCAUUAAGUGCCCCGCCUGGGGAGUACGGCCGCAAGGUUAAA